rnacentral:rRNA from 1 species
CCAUCUCCGUGCGCAGCCAUGUCUUCCUCCACCUCCUUCCAGCCAACACUUAGCGGUGGAGUCCUGGAGAAACUCUCCCGCACCAACUACAUCCUGUGGCGGACACAGAUCACGCCGCAGCUGCGGGGCGCCAGUGUUUUCCACUACGCCGACGACACGGCCACCGCACCGGCCAAAACCCUCGUCACCAAGGAUGUUGCCGGGAAGGAACCCGAGGGGCCGAAUCCUCUCCAUCCGCUUUGGGUGAAGGAGGAUCAACAGGUCCUUGGAUACCUGCUCCAAAACCUUGAUACGAGGUGCUCAUCACGGUGA